rnacentral:rRNA from 1 species
GAUGAACGCUGGCGGCGUGCCUAACACAUGCAAGUCGAACGGAGAUGCGAUGUGAGCGAGAGGUGCUUGCACUGAUUAAUCUUUUCGUAUCUUAGUGGCGGACGGGUGAGUAACGCGUGGGUAACUUGCCAAAGAUUAUAUCGGUGUGAGAUGGAUCCGCGUNUGAUUAGCCAGUUGGCGGGGUAACGGCCCACCAAAGCGACGAUCAGUAGCCGACCUGAGAGGGUGACCGGCCACAUUGGGACUGAGACACGGCCCAAACUCCUACGGGAGGCAGCAGUGGGGAAUAUUGCACAAUGGGCGCAAGCCUGAUGCAGCGACGCCGCGUGAAGGAUGAAGUAUUUCGGUAUGUAAACUUCUAUCAGCAGGGAAGAAAAUGACGGUACCUGACUAAGAAGCCCCGGCUAACUACGUG